rnacentral:lncRNA from 1 species
GUUAUUUUUGAAAUUAUAAAAAGUGAGCCAAAAAAUACUAAUUGUACAUUUUAUAGUAUAGAGCAGUAGAUCCUAUAUAUCUAUAAAUUCAAACAGCUUGACAGCUCAGAUAAGAACGCUUUUUAUGGCAUGAUAUUGGUGAUAUGCAAAUAAUUUAAACAGUAGCUACUGAAAGAUUCUUAAGUAUAUUUUAGAUUAUUAAAGAAAGAUUAUAUCCAAAGUUAUAAUUUUUGUUGGAAAAUUAGUAAUUUAUUUAUAUUAUAUAUCAGAAAUCUAAUUAGAAUAGCUUAUUCUACAAUCUUUCUGAAUAAACAGUAGCUGACUAUUAAAAAUUCUCAGUUCUUUAACGCUUAGAUUUUCUAUUGUUUCCAAUUUAGAAUGUGUUGUCUCCUGCUCUAAAAUGGUUUUUAGAAAUAGCUUUGAAUACCUUCAGUACCAUCUAAAAAGUACAAAGCAGAAAGCAUAAGGAGUUCUUAGAAAAAGAGAAAUUAAUAAGUUUUAAAAACCCCCUUUUCCAGACCCUUUCUUCUACUUUUUAGCCGUUAAUCCUUCUUUCUUUGUCCACUUGUCUGGUUCUGUUUUUCCUAUAUAAUAUAUUUUUACAUACCUUCUGUCCUAACACUUUGUUUUCUAGGCCAUGGACACAGUCAUUCCCUCUUUAAUGGUGCUCUAGAUCAGGCACAUGGCCAUGUCGAUCAUUGCCAUAGCCAUGAAGUGAAACAUGGUGCUGCACAUAGCCAUGAUCAUGCUCAUGGACAUGGACACUUUCAUUCUCAUGGUGAGUACAGCCUAGAGACAAAUGGACAGCCUCGACAUUUUGGUACAGGCAUGUAAUACAUAGUAAUCACGUAAGGGUAAACAGGGUUUCCAUUUCCUCAAGCAUUUAUCCUGUGUUAUAAACAAUCCAAUUAUACUCUUGGUUAUAGUAAAUCUUAUUCAUUCUUUCUUUUUUUUUUUUUUUUUUUUUNNNNNNNNNNCUUUCUUUUUUUUUUUUUUUUGGUACCCAUUA